UUUCCAACGUAUACAAUAUGUUUCUCGACGAUUGUAUGUCCCACUCGUUCUUAUUAUAACUCAGCAGUUACACUUUGUAGCCUAUGACUUGGGUGUAUUAUUUAGCCUUAAAAUACUUAGCUGUCACAGGUGUGAAUGGGGGCUCGAAGGUAAAAGCACUGUUUUUCUUGAGGGUUAUCUUUACCACGCGCUAUAUCUAAGGAUAGUGAUCUACACCACCACCGAUCAAAGUCCAGAAAUCCGUCGCAGUGACAGCGAGCCGUAGGCUAUUUCUUCUUAUUUUUAAAACACAUUUAUUCAAGAGGGCUGCUGCAUUGCUUUUACAGUUACAAAGGUAUCCAACUGAAAUGACGGACUUUCUCACUUUUCCCGCACUGCUCCAGCGUUCCUGUUGCUAGUGCUCAGCGGCAUCAUCACACCCGCAUGUACAGAUGAUGGUCACCUAGGGCCGGGGGGUGUUCCUAGUCUACCAGGGCUUGAUGGCUGUAACGGGACCAGAGGGGACGCUGGUUUCCCUGGAAUACAUGGUCUGAACGGGCCUGAUGGGGGAGCGGGUGAUGUCGGCCGUGCUGGGGUUACUGGACUGCCUGCAUGUAGCUGCACUGGAAAGUCCAGGUGUAACUGUGAUGGAGUUAAAGGCAGUAUGGUAUCCAAGGUGAGCAGGGGACUCCGGGAUCCAAAGGCUCCCAAGGCCCUCCAGGUCCCUACUUUGCCGGGCCAAUAGAGGACGGCUUCCUAUUCACCCGUCACAGUCAGAACGUGCCACAGUGCCCAGGGGGCAGCAACCUCAUCUACCCCGGAUACUCCCUCCUGUUCAUCAAAGGCAACAACAGAGGCCAAGGCCAGAAUCUGGGUAUGAGUUUACACACACAUGUGCAUGCACAUCCAUCCAUGGAUGUACAUAUAAAUACAUAUACAUAGGCAUGCAGACAUUUAUGCACACACAACCACACACACACACAACCACACAUACAUGCACACACACAGAUAUUCAUGCACAUACCAUAUAUAACUCAAAAACACACACACACACACACAGUCUCCGAAGAAGAACGCAAUCCCUGCUGUUCUAUCCGAUAACAUAACAACGGUUCCGUCUCCUGGAUAUGCUGCUUUCUGCCCAAUAGAAAUACAUUGAUUCUAUUUCUCUAGUUUGCCCGCUGUCCAGGUACACUGGGGAGCUGUCAGCCUCGUUUCUCUACCACGCCCUUCUUAUUAUCCAACACGGACAGCACGAGCCACUAAGCCUCCUACAAAGACUACUCCUACCGGCUGUCCACGGAUGAGGCCAUGCAUCGCUUGUUAUGGCCCUUAUCUCUGGUGACUCACUGGAGAGAUAUGUCAGCAGAUUCUGCUCUAGUAUACACUGGUUUGAACAGAUUGUCCUAGACAUAACACAGGAAGGAACUCCAGUGUCACUCUAUAAGUAAAUAUGGGUCUGCCCUGAUAGCUGGGAAUCCCCACUCUGCUGGGUAAAAUGCCCCUGAGGGGAUGUAUUGAAUUGUGAAUUGAAUUGAAUUACAGUUGCAAAAUUCCAGAAACUUUGCCAAAAUCCAGAAAUCCCGUUUGGAAUAUUCCUGUAAUCAGAAAGGAAUUAGCAGGACAUCUGGAAUCCUCCAACCAAGAUUUUUGGAAAACCUGGGAAUUUUGAGAAAGUUACUCACUCCACGCUAGCUUGAAUUUUGCAACCCUAAAUUGAAUUGAAUUAAUGAAAAAUGUUGCUGGCUUGACAAGUUUCCUUGUCUGCCCAAGCAUGCUCUUCAGAGUCAAUGUGAUGUAUGUUUAUUUAAAAAAAUGUAACUGCCAAAUUAUAUCAAUCAAUCAUACCGUAUUUGCGCUAUAUGGGCUGGCUCUGUCUUUGUGCUGCCUACUCUUUUGUCAUGGUAGGAACUACAGUCUGAGAAAGAGGAACUCCUGUAUGGAUGGGUUAAUUCAGUAGCUGAAUGGAAUGCAAGUACAUUUUAACCUUAACAAAUGUUUUACCUGAUCAGGAAAACAUCAAGGCCUGGAAGAACUCUGGGCCAUAGUAUAAUGGCGGUUCAUUAGUAACUGAAAACUAUGCUUACUUGCUUAUGGCGAUGCCAUACCAAUAGAGAGGUUUGAGGAGUGUGCCAGCAACUGGAAGGUUGCCUGUUUGAAUCCCAUGUGUGAUAGGGGAAAAUCUGUUCGAGAGUGGGCCUGAGGGUUGCUGCCCUCAGUGUCCUAGAUGCCAUCACCUGCGGUUGUACCUGUGAGCAAGACACUUAACCCCUAAACUGCUCAACGGGCACUGCACUAGUAGCUGCCUACUACUCAACCCUCUUCAACCAAGGGCUGGAUUCAAUUCGUAGUCCUGAAGUUCGGCGUUACAGCGUGAUUCAAAUUUAAAGGCAAUGUCUCCGCGCUAGUGGAGUCUGUAUUCACAGUAAAUGCUGCAUAUGUCGGGCUCAAUUGGAAAUUACCUUUAAAUGUUGAUUGCCCAAUCAAUCUGUAACGCUUCAGCGUUAUGUGUGUAUGUGUGUGUGUGUAUGUGUGUGUGUGUGUGUCAGAGUGGUUGGGCACAGCAGAAGACCAAUUACCAUUUUGUGCAAUCAGUCUGUAAGGCCUCCU